GAUGAACGCUGGCGGCGUGCCUAAUACAUGCAAGUCGAGCGAACAGACGAGGAGCUUGCUCCUCUGACGUUAGCGGCUGACGGGUGAGUAACACGUGGAUAACCUACCUAUAAGACUGGGAUAACUUCGGGAAACCGGAGCUAAUACCGGAUAAUAUAUUGAACCGCAUGGUUCAAUAGUUCAAGACGGUUUUGCUGUCACUUAUAGAUGGAUCCGCGCCGCAUUAGCUAGUUGGUAAGGUAACGGCUUACCAAGGCAACGAUGCGUAGCCGACCUGAGAGGAUGAUCGGCCACACUGGAACUGAGACACGGUCCAGACUCCUACGGGAGGCAGCAGUAGGGAAUCUUCCGCAAUGGGCGAAAGCCUGACGGAGCAACGCCGCGUGAGUGAUGAAGGUCUUCGGAUCGUAAAACUCUGUUAUUAGGGAAGAACAAAUGUGUAAGUAACUAUGCACGUCUUGACGGUACCUAAUCAGAAAGCCACGGCUAACUACGUG
rnacentral:rRNA from 1 species